rfam:Capsicum annuum cultivar Zunla-1 chromosome 2, whole genome shotgun sequence
UACCUAGUUAAGCCAGCUAGUAGACAUAUGUUUGUCUCAAAUAUUAAGCCAUGCAUAUGUAAGUACGAACAAAUUCAGACUGUGAAACAACGAAUGGGUCAUUAAAUCAGUUAUAGUUUUUUUGAUGGUAUCUACUACUCGGAUAAUCAUCGUAUUUCUAGAGCUAAUACGUGAAAAAAAACCCAACUUCUGGAAGGGAUGCAUUUAUUAGAUAAAAGGUCAACCCGGGCUCUUUCUGUUGCUGCAAUGAUUCAUGAUAACUCGACGGAUCGCAUGACCAUCGAGACAGCGAUGCAUCACUUAAAUUUCUGCCCUAUAAACUUUUGAUGGUAGGAUAGUGGCCUACCAUGGUGGUGAUGGGUAAUGAAGAAUUUGGGUUUGAUUUUAGAGAGGGAUCCUGAGAAAUGACUACCACAUCAAAGAAAGGAACUAGGUGCAGAAAUUACCCAAUCAUGACACGGGGAGGUAGUGAUAAUAAAUAAAAAUACUGGGCUCAAUGAGUCUGGUAAUUGGAAUGACUACAAUCUAAAUCCCUUAAUAAGGAUCCAUUGAAGGGAAAGUCUAGCACCAUCAACCGCGGUAAUUCCAUCUCCAAUAGUGUAUAUUUAAAUUAUUGCAGUUAAAAACCUCAUAGUUAGACUUUAGGAUGGACCGAACGGUCCGCCUAUGGUAUGCCCCAGUCAUCUCAUCCCUUCUAUCGGCGAUGCACUCCUGGCCUCAACUGUCCGGGUCGUGUCUUCGGAACUGUAACUUUGAAGAAAUUAGAGUGCUCAAAGCAAGCCUACACUGUCUAUACAUUAGCAUAGGAUAACAUUAUAGGGUUUCAGCCCUAUUAUGUUGGCCUUAAGGAUCAGAGUAGUGAUUAACAGGGACAACUGAGGGCAUUAGUAUUUCAUAGUCAGAGGUGAAAUUCUUGAAUUGAUGAAAGGUUAACAACUAUGAAAGAAUUUGCCAAGGAUGUUUUCAUUAAUCAAGAACGAAAGUUGGGGGCUCAAAGAUAAUCAGAUAUUGUCUUAUUCUCAACCAUAAAUGAUGCCGACCAGGGAUCAGUGGAUGUUGGUUUUAGGACUCUAUCGAUACCAUAUGAGAAAUUAAAGUUUUUGGGUUCUGGGGGGAGUACCCUCGCAAGGCUGAAACUUAAAGGAAUUGACUGAAGGACACCACCAGGAGUGGAGCCUGCGUCUUAAUUUGACUUAACACGGGGAAACAUACCAGGUCCAGACAUAGUAAGUAUUGAUAGACUGAGCACUCUUUCUUGAUUCUAUGGGUGGUGGUGCAUGGCCGUUCUUAGUUCAAAGAGCGAUUUGUCUAGUUAUUCCAUUAAUGAAUGAGACCUCAGCAUGAUAACUAGCUAUGUGGAGGUAUCCCUUCGCGGUCAGCUUCUUAGAGGGACUACGAACUUUGAGGCCUCGAAAGUUUUAGGAAAUAACAAGUCUGUGAUGCCCUUAGAUGUUUUGGGCCACGUGCUACAUUGAUGUAUUCAACUAUUUUAUAGACUUGGCGGACAGGCUCGUGUAAUAUUUGAAAUUUCAUUGUGAUCGGGAUAUAUUAUUGAAAUUGUUAGUCUUUAUUGAGGAAUUCCUAGUAAGAGCAACUCAUCAUCUUACGUUAACUGCGUACCUUCCCUUUGCACACACCGGCCAUCGCUCCUACUAAUUGAAUGAUACAAUGAAAUGUUUGGAUCGCGGCAACAUGGGCGGUUCGCUACCCGCGACAUUGCGAAAAGUCCAUUGAACCUUAUGAUUUAGAGGAAGGAGAAGUUGUAACAAGGUUUUCGUAGGUUAACCUGCGAAAGAAUAAUUA